UCGGGCAGGAAAUCCAAAGUGUGGGAUCAUUUUGAGAAGGUGAAGGACGAACCCAAGGUGAUAUGUAAACUCAUCUUCAUUGGUGGACUACAAACAUGACGUAUCAUCUGAAACAUGGAAGUAGCUACAUGCCCAUUAGCCCACAGCGUCAUUAACAGGCGGCUCGCUCAGUGUGUGACGUGCACUUGGAGAUAAAAUAUAGGCCUAUAUUAAUGAAGGUUCAUUAGUACGGUUUGUAUUUCUCUGUAAUGUAGCACAGUGUUAACAAUGUUACUGAUACUAUUCUUUCUCACACCUUCAACUCAAACCACCAAAAUAUAUCAUUUCAUCAUUACAUUCAUAUCAGAAACAUGCAGGAGACUAGUCCACUGAUGGACCCUGAUGAGGACUGUUGGUCCACUGAUGGACCCUGAUGAGGACUACUAGUCCACUGAUGGACCCUGAUGAGGACUGUUGGUCCACUGAUGGACCCUGAUGAGGACUGUUGGUCCACUGAUGGACCCUGAUGAGGACUACUAGUCCACUGAUGGACCCUGAUGAGGACUGUUGGUCCACUGAUGGACCCUGAUGAGGACUGUUGGUCCACUGAUGGACCCUGAUGAGGACUGUUGGUCAGCUAGGAA